UACGUAGGGCGCAAGCGUUGUCCGGAAUUAUUGGGCGUAAAGAGCUCGUAGGCGGUGUGUCACGUCGGCCGUGAAAACCUGCAGCUUAACUGUGGGCGUGCGGUCGAUACGGGCAUCACUGGAGUUCGGCAGGGGAGACUGGAAUUCCUGGUGUAGCGGUGAAAUGCGCAGAUAUCAGGAGGAACACCGGUGGCGAAGGCGGGUCUCUGGGCGAUUAACUGACGCUGGAGGAG
rnacentral:rRNA from 1 species